rnacentral:rRNA from 1 species
UACGAAGGGGGCAAGCGUUGUUCGGAAUUACUGGGCGUAAAGGGCGCGUAGGCGGUCCACUAAGUCAGGCGUGAAAGCCCUGGGCUCAACCCGGGAAUUGCGCUUGAUACUGGCGCGCUUGAAUCCAGGAGAGGUUGGUGGAAUUCCCAGUGUAGAGGUGAAAUUCGUAGAGAUUGGGAAGAACACCGGUGGCGAAGGCGGCCAACUGGACUGGUAUUGACGCUGAGGCGCGAAAGCGUGGGGAGCAAACAGG